rnacentral:rRNA from 1 species
GGGGGUGCCUUAGUAACGGCGAGUGAAGCGGCAAAAGCUCAAAUUUGAAAUCUGGUACCUUCGGUGCCCGAGUUGUAAUUUGGAGAGGGCAACUUUGGGGCCGUUCCUUGUCUAUGUUCCUUGGAACAGGACGUCAUAGAGGGUGAGAAUCCCGUGUGGCGAGGAGUGCGGUUCUUUGUAAAGUGCCUUCGAAGAGUCGAGUUGUUUGGGAAUGCAGCUCUAAGUGGGUGGUAAAUUCCAUCUAAAGCUAAAUAUUGGCGAGAGACCGAUAGCGAACAAGUACAGUGAUGGAAAGAUGAAAAGAACUUUGAAAAGAGAGUGAAAAAGUACGUGAAAUUGUUGAAAGGGAAGGGCAUUUGAUCAGACAUGGUGUUUUGUGCCCUCUGCUCCUUGUGGGUAGGGGAAUCUCGCAUUUCACUGGGCCAGCAUCAGUUUUGGUGGCAGGAUAAAUCCAUAGGAAUGUAGCUUGCCUCGGUAAGUAUUAUAGCCUGUGGGAAUACUGCCAGCUGGGACUGAGGACUGCGACGUAAGUCAAGGAUGCUGGCAUAAUGGUUAUAUGCCGCCCGUCUUGAACAACGGACCAAAA